rnacentral:rRNA from 1 species
CAAUAGCGUAUAUUAAAGUUGUUGCAGUUAAAAAGCUCGUAGUUGGAUUUCUGGUGAGAUGGAUUAUGUCUAGGUCGAAAGAUCUUGUUCAUGGUUCGUUUUGCCCUUCUUGUCAGGAACCCGCUGAGAUUCGCGUCUUGUCGGUGGAAUGGCAUCGUUUAUUGUGAAAAAAUUAGAGUGUUCAAAGCAGGCAUCGCCGUUGAAUACAUUAGCAUGGAAUAAUAAGAUAAGACUUUGGUGGUCUAUUUUGUUGGUUUGCACGCCAAGGUAAUGAUUAAUAGGGAUAGUUGGGGGUAUUCGUAUUCUAUUGCUAGAGGUGAAAUUCUUAAAUUUAUGGAAGACGAACUACUGCGAAAGCAUUUACCAAGGAUGUUUUCAUUAA